CGGGACACGUGGUAUCCUGUCUGAAUAUGGGGGGACCAUCCUCCAAGGCUAAAUACUCCUGACUGACCGAUAGUGAACCAGUACCGUGAGGGAAAGGCGAAAAGAACCCCGGCGAGGGGAGUGAAAAAGAACCUGAAACCGUGUACGUACAAGCAGUGGGAGCACGCUUAGGCGUGUGACUGCGUACCUUUUGUAUAAUGGGUCAGCGACUUAUAUUCUGUAGCAAGGUUAACCGAAUAGGGGAGCCGAAGGGAAACCGAGUCUUAACUGGGCGUUAAGUUGCAGGGUAUAGACCCGAAACCCGGUGAUCUAGCCAUGGGCAGGUUGAAGGUUGGGUAACACUAACUGGAGGACCGAACCGACUAAUGUUGAAAAAUUAGCGGAUGACUUGUGGCUGGGGGUGAAAGGCCAAUCAAACCGGGAGAUAGCUGGUUCUCCCCGAAAGCUAUUUAGGUAGCGCCUCGUGAAUUCAUCUCCGGGGGUAGAGCACUGUUUCGGCAAGGGGGUCAUCCCGACUUACCAACCCGAUGCAAACUGCGAAUACCGGAGAAUGUUAUCACGGGAGACACACGGCGGGUGCUAACGUCCGUCGUGAAGAGGGAAACAACCCAGACCGCCAGCUAAGGUCCCAAAGUCAUGGUUAAGUGGGAAACGAUGUGGGAAGGCCCAGACAGCCAGGAUGUUGGCUUAGAAGCAGCCAUCAUUUAAAGAAAGCGUAAUAGCUCACUGGUCGAGUCGGCCUGCGCGGAAGAUGUAACGGGGCUAAACCAUGCACCGAAGCUGCGGCAGCGACGCUGAUGCGUUGUUGGGUAGGGGAGCGUUCUGUAAGCCUGUGAAGGUGUGCUGUGAGGCAUGCUGGAGGUAUCAGAAGUGCGAAUGCUGACAUAAGUAACGAUAAAGCGGGUGAAAAGCCCGCUCGCCGGAAGACCAAGGGUUCCUGUCCAACGUUAAUCGGGGCAGGGUGAGUCGACCCCUAAGGCGAGGCCGAAAGGCGUAGUCGAUGGGAAACAGGUUAAUAUUCCUGUACUUGGUGUUACUGCGAAGGGGGGACGGAGAAGGCUAUGUUGGCCGGGCGACGGUUGUCCCGGUUUAAGCGUGUAGGCUGGUUUUCCAGGCAAAUCCGGAAAAUCAAGGCUGAGGCGUGAUGACGAGGCACUACGGUGCUGAAGCAACAAAUGCCCUGCUUCCAGGAAAAGCCUCUAAGCAUCAGGUAACAUCAAAUCGUACCCCAAACCGACACAGGUGGUCAGGUAGAGAAUACCAAGGCGCUUGAGAGAACUCGGGUGAAGGAACUAGGCAAAAUGGUGCCGUAACUUCGGGAGAAGGCACGCUGAUAUGUAGGUGAAGCGACUUGCUCGUGGAGCUGAAAUCAGUCGAAGAUACCAGCUGGCUGCAACUGUUUAUUAAAAACACAGCACUGUGCAAACACGAAAGUGGACGUAUACGGUGUGACGCCUGCCCGGUGCCGGAAGGUUAAUUGAUGGGGUCAGCGCAAGCGAAGCUCUUGAUCGAAGCCCCGGUAAACGGCGGCCGUAACUAUAACGGUCCUAAGGUAGCGAAAUUCCUUGUCGGGUAAGUUCCGACCUGCACGAAUGGCGUAAUGAUGGCCAGGCUGUCUCCACCCGAGACUCAGUGAAAUUGAACUCGCUGUGAAGAUGCAGUGUACCCGCGGCAAGACGGAAAGACCCCGUGAACCUUUACUAUAGCUUGACACUGAACAUUGAGCCUUGAUGUGUAGGAUAGGUGGGAGGCUUUGAAGUGUGGACGCCAGUCUGCAUGGAGCCGGCCUUGAAAUACCACCCUUUAAUGUUUGAUGUUCUAACGUUGACCCGUGAUCCGGGUUGCGGACAGUGUCUGGUGGGUAGUUUGACUGGGGCGGUCUCCUCCUAAAGAGUAACGGAGGAGCACGAAGGUUGGCUAAUCCUGGUCGGACAUCAGGAGGUUAGUGCAAUGGCAUAAGCCAGCUUGACUGCGAGCGUGACGGCGCGAGCAGGUGCGAAAGCAGGUCAUAGUGAUCCGGUGGUUCUGAAUGGAAGGGCCAUCGCUCAACGGAUAAAAGGUACUCCGGGGAUAACAGGCUGAUACCGCCCAAGAGUUCAUAUCGACGGCGGUGUUUGGCACCUCGAUGUCGGCUCAUCACAUCCUGGGGCUGAAGUAGGUCCCAAGGGUAUGGCUGUUCGCCAUUUAAAGUGGUACGCGAGCUGGGUUUAGAACGUCGUGAGACAGUUCGGUCCCUAUCUGCCGUGGGCGCUGGA
rnacentral:rRNA from 1 species